rnacentral:rRNA from 1 species
UACGGGGGGUGCAAGCGUUGCUCGGAAUUAUUGGGCGUAAAGGGUAGGUAGGUGGUCUCAUUUGUCUGAUGUGAAAGCCUUGGGCUUAACUCAAGAAGUGCGUCAGAAACGGUGAGACUGGAGUCCUGGAGAGGGUCGUGGAAUUCCCGGUGUAGCGGUGAAAUGCGUAGAUAUUGGGAAGAACACCGGUGGCGAAGGCGGCCAUCUGGACCGCAACUGACGCUGAGGCGCGAAAGCGUGGGGAGCAAACAGG